CCAUGGACUACAGCCUACCAGGCUCCUCCAUCCAUGGGAUUUUCCAGGCAAGAGUACUGGAGUGGGGUGCCAUUGCCUUCUCCACCACUAAUACUAAUAGAAUGCAAAUUCCACGUGGACAGUGACUUUUUGUGUUUAGUUUCCUGCGGUUUCCACAGCACAUAGAAUAGCUCCUGUCACACUAUAGGUCCCAAAUAAGUAUUGUUGAAUGAAAGAGCCAUGGUGAUUGGUUGGAAAAAGAGAACUUCAGUGGAAAUGGGAAAUGAGGGGAAAUUUUCUGGGCAGGUUUAACCUACCAGGAGUUUGUUCUGGAGCAAGAACUUGGAGGGUUCAUAUAUUGAGUUUUUUUCUUAAAAGACAUUUCUUUCACACCCUACUGAAACAGAGCAGGACCCUAUGGUCCUUGCAACUCCUGUCCUCUGCUUGUCUUUUAUAUGUAGAAAAACUUCAGCCAAACAAUAAGUUUAAUCAGAGAAUUGAGAAAAUACACAAAGGAAAACAGUCAAAUGAGACCUAGUAAUAAUAGUCUAGUCAUUAAGCAAUGUCAAGGACCUUUAGUUCCUCCUCAAGGGCUACAGAUAAUAUUCUGAGCCAUAUCUUGUGAACUGUCUUAUAGAUACUGAAACCCCCACCAGCUGAAAGAGGUUAACUACAUGACCAGACUGCAGCCAUGACAGAAGCAGCCACAGUUCUGAGAACUGAACUCAAAGAAAUGGGAACAAAUCAACUGUGGCACUAAAGGUUAACUGCACUUAAAACAAUUAAGAUGACACUGAUCAGACCACCCUGUGACCAAUUUCAAGAAGACAGUCAGAGCCGACUGUGAUGUCUCCUCCCUCCAUUGAUAAAAAUGCUCUUGCCCUGUAAUUGUCAGUCAGGGGGAGCUGGCCUUUGGACAGAAGUCUGCCCUCCACCCCACCACACGCAGAUUGCCAGCCUUUGAAAUAAAGCAAACUUUCCUUUCUACCAACUCCGCCUCUUUAUCAGCUUUAGAGUGACAAGCGCGGAAUCCCCACUCCCGGUCAGGUUUUUGGCUCCCGCCGUGGGGCUCUCGCGACAUCUGGCUCCCAGGAUUUUCCGGAGCAACGUCGCCGCCAUGAGGACGCACCAGGGUGGCUGUGAGGAGCCGCUGCUCGUGGCUACCUGUCCCUAGGAGAAGGGUUUGAGGGGAUGCUCCUAGUGGCUGCUGAAACCAUUUGCUUCGGGGGUCCUCCCUGUUUCAUCUCUGCCCGGCACUGGCUGUUAACUUACGCUUUUCCUCGGUGGAACGGAAACAUGCGUCUGGACAAACUGAAGAGCUCCAAGACGCAAGCCACAUGUGAGAUGUCCAGCCACCCUGAGGCUGCCAUGUUGGAGAAGCCGAUGCAGUGACCACCUGAAGACAUCUCAGCUGGACCUUGAGAGAGACGCACAACCUGGCCCUAGACAUCAGACAUGUGACUGAAGACACCAGCUGAGGGUCCCAGGAUCAUAUAGCUAACAUCAGAAUACUUCCAAAGCCCUGAAGUGUGGUGGCUGCAUUAAAGAAUCUUGCUAAGGAUACUUCUGAAGUUUUAAAAAGCCCACUGGCCUGAGAAUUCCAGUCUCCCUCACAGUUUUGGUACAAUCAUUAGAUGCCCCCGGUACAGUUCUCCCUGUAGACCUCCUCAUCCUACUGACUGGAGCUUGGCCACUCAACUGGCCAAGAUGGUCCAGAAGCAGAGGAGCCAUUGGCGUCACCUGAGCAGAGGUUUUUAGAAGCGCUGCGUCUUCCCAUCGGCCCUUAUGUUUUGCCCGCACUCUGAGACCAUCAAGUCUCAUGUGGUGGCUACUUCUUCAGUCUGGUUCUGGAAUGAAGAGACACAUGGAGCACAGCCAGGAUGAGUCCAGCAGAGCUGCCAACGUUCAGAAAUUCCAGAACUUUUAGGGUUGAAAAUGGAAGCUCUCAGUUCUUACAGGCAGAAAAAAAAAGUCUUAAAUUAAGGCAAAGAUUGGGCAUAGAUCCAACACACCCAUUGUUGAGUCUACUGAUUAGACUUACAUGGCCCUAGUAAUUUAUUUUCAUUGACAAAAUGUCUCUGGGGAAAGAGUGAAGGUGCAGUCAUCUGAAUCUUAAUGAGAUCAAAGUACCUUAGGAGGCAUUUCUUGAGAAGUAAGUUAUGGGUAUGGCUGUUGACUUACAUGGACCUUCCUGGGAUCAAAUUGACUAAAAAUGAAAGUAGUUAUGUAAAUAGAGUUAUGCAUGAAAUAUCAUAUGCUCAUAUCACAUAGAAAGCUGUGGAUUUGUGUUUAUGAGUAUAAGCGUUAACUAUCUCUAGAAGGAUAAAGA